GUCCACGCCAUAAACGAUGAGAACUGGAUGUCGGAGGGGUCUGCCCUUCGGUGUCGUAGCUAACGCGUUAAGUUCUCCGCCUGGGGAGUACGGCCGCAAGGUUGAAACUCAAAUGAAUUGACGGGGACCCCGCACAAGCGGUGGAGCAUGUGGUUUAAUUCGAUGCAACGCGAAGAACCUUACCUGGUAUUGACAUGUCUGGAAUUCUGCAGAGAUGCGGAAGUGCCUUCGGGAACCAGAACACAGGUGCUGCAUGGCUGUCGU
rnacentral:rRNA from 1 species